CCUACGGGCGGCACCAGUGGGGAAUAUUGCACAAUGGGCGCAAGCCUGAUGCAGCCAUGCCGCGUGUGUGAAGAAGGCCUUCGGGUUGUAAAGCACUUUCAGCGGGGAGGAAGGCGCCAAGGUGAAUAACCUUGGCGAUUGACGUUACCCGCAGAAGAAGCUCCGGCUAACUCCGUGCCAGCAGCCGCGGUAAUACGGAGGGUGCAAGCGUUAAUCGGAAUUACUGGGCGUAAAGCGCACGCAGGCGGUCUGUCAAGUCGGAUGUGAAAUCCCCGGGCUCAACCUGGGAACUGCAUUCGAAACAGGCAGGCUAGAGUCUUGUAGAGGGGGGUAGAAUUCCAGGUGUAGCGGUGAAAUGCGUAGAGAUCUGGAGGAAUACCGGUGGCGAAGGCGGCCCCCUGGACAAAGACUGACGCUCAGGUGCGAAAGCGUGGGGAGCAAACAGGAUUAGAUACCCGUGUAGUC
rnacentral:rRNA from 1 species